GACGAACGCUGGCGGCGUGCCUAACACAUGCAAGUCGAACGAAGCUUGACGAAUGAUUUCUUCGGAAUGAAAUCUGAUAUGACUGAGUGGCGGACGGGUGAGUAACGCGUGAGCAACCUGCCCUUCGGAACGGGAUAGUGUCUGGAAACGGACAGUAAUACCGUAUAACGUAUUUUUACCGCAUGAUAGAAAUACCAAAACUGAGGUGCCGAAGGAUGGGCUCGCGUCUGAUUAGAUAGUUGGUGGGGUAACGGCCUACCAAGUCGACGAUCAGUAGCCGGACUGAGAGGUUGAACGGCCACAUUGGGACUGAGACACGGCCCAGACUCCUACGGGAGGCAGUAGUGGGGAAUAUUGCACAAUGGGGGAAACCCUGAUGCAGCAACGCCGCGUGAAGGAAGACGGUUUUCGGAUUGUAAACUUCUGUUCUUAGUGAAGAAUAAUGACG
rnacentral:rRNA from 1 species